AUUGAACGCUGGCGGCAGGCCUAACACAUGCAAGUCGAGCGGAUGAAGGGAGCUUGCUCCUGGAUUCAGCGGCGGACGGGUGAGUAAUGCCUAGGAAUCUGCCUGGUAGUGGGGGAUAACGUCCGGAAGCGGGCGCUAAUACCGCAUACGUCCUGAGGGAGAAAGUGGGGGAUCUUCGGACCUCACGUUAUCAGAUGAGCCUAGGUCGGAUUAGCUAGUUGGUGGGGUAAAGGCCUACCAAGGCGACGAUCCGUAACUGGUCUGAGAGGAUGAUCAGUCACACUGGAACUGAGACACGGUCCAGACUCCUACGGGAGGCAGCAGUGGGGAAUAUUGGACAAUGGGCGAAAGCCUGAUCCAGCCAUGCCGCGUGUGUGAAGAAGGUCUUCGGAUUGUAAAGCACUUUAAGUUGGGAGGAAGGGCAGUAAGUUAAUACCUUGCUGUUUUGACGUUACCAACAGAAUAAGCACCGGCUAACUUCGUG
rnacentral:rRNA from 1 species